rnacentral:rRNA from 1 species
CUGCUGCCUUCCGUAGGAGUCUGGGCCGUGUCUCAGUCCCAGUGUGGCUGGUCGUCCUCUCAGACCAGCUACUGAUCGUUGCUUUGGUGAGCCGUUACCUCACCAACCGGCUAAUCAGUCAUCGGCCGCUCCGCUCGCGAGAGGCCCUUGCGGGUCCCCCUCUUUCUUCCGUAGAACUCAUGCGGUAUUAGCCAACCUUUCGGCUGGUUGUCCCCCACGAGCGGACACGUUCCGAUGUAUUACUCACCCGUUCG